UGAGUUUGAUGAUGGCUCUGAAUGAACGCUGUCCAAAUGCUUGACACAUGCUAAUCGUACGACUAGUUUAACUCUUUAACUAGUAGUGGUGUACAGGUGAGUAUAUGAUAAGAUAACUACCUAGGAGUAAGGAGAAAGAUCCCUUAUAUUAAGAAAGAAAUUUAGAUUUCGCUCUUAGAUGUAUCUAUCUCGUGUAGUUGUAGUAGUUAAAGUAAAAGUUUAACUAGCUUUUUACACGUAGUCGAAACUGAGAGGUUGAUCGAUCACAGUGGGCCUGAAUAAAGCCCACGAUGAAAAUUACAGCAGUGAGGAAUCUUGGUCAAUAGCCUAACGGCUGAACCAGCAAUUUGGAGGAAUGUAUAGCGAUAGCUAAUUGUACUGUGAUAAAGAUACGUGCAAUCUCGACUUAGUCGAAUAAAAUUCUAGGUAGAUAUUUGAUAAUGACAAUUUCUGCCUAUUAGUCUUGACCAAACUACGUGCCAGCAGUCGCGGUAAUACGUAAAAGACUAGUGUUAUUCAUCUUUAAUAGGUUUAAAGGGUACCUAGACGGUAAAUCAAGCCAUAGACGGGACUAAUUUACUAGAGUUACUUGUGAGGGGGCACUAAAGUACUAAUGGUGUAGAGAUGAAAUUCUACGAUACCUAUUUUCGAAAGAAAAACGAUGGCACAGGUAUAGGCGAAAGCAUCCCCUUAUGUGAUAACUGACGUUGAGGGACGAAGGCUCUGAAUAACGAACAGGAUUAGAUACCCUGGUAGUUGGAGCAGUAAAUGAUGAAUGUCAUAGACUAGACAUUAGUUUAUUCUAUAAAUGAAAGUGUAAGCAUUCCACCUCAAGAGUAAUUUGGCAACAUUGGAACUGAAAUCAUUAGACCGUUUCUGAAACCAGUAGUGAAGUAUGUUGUUUAAUUUGAUAAUCCGCAAAAAACCUUACCACAAUUUGAAUAUUUAUAUCUUUCUUUUUUUUUCAACUUUUUCUUAAUUUUUUUCACACAGAUAUAAACAAGUAAUAAAAAGUAAUAACAAAAGAAAAUAUUUUUACAAGCGUUGCACGGCUGUCUUCAGUUAAUGUCGUGAGAUUUUGGUUAGUUCCAUUAAAUUAACGUAAACCCUUACUAUAUUUAUAUAUAUAGUAGUUCUCCAUCAUAUUGGAUAAGAUAACAGGGACUAAGACAAGUCAUCAUGGCCUAAAUAUUGUGGGCUAUAGACGUGCUGCAUAUACCUUUACAAAAGGAUGUUAAAUUGAAAGAUUGAGCUAAUCCCCAAAAAUGGUUAUAAAUGGAUUGUAGUCUGUAACUCGACUGCGUGAAAUAGGAAUUACUAGUAAUCGUGUAUAAGUACGGCACGGUGAAUCAAAUCUCAGAUAGGUACUAACCACUCGUCAGGCGCUGAAAAUUGUAUGUGCGUUAAGUUUGGCUAGUGUUUAUUUUUAAUUUGGGCGAUUUGGCUCAAAAAUUUAGGCAUGUGGUCUUCGAACGUGUGACUUUAAUUGGUGUUAAGUCGAAAUAUGGUUCGUGUAGUGGAAAUUGCACGGG
rnacentral:rRNA from 1 species